CAGAGUAUCAAUUGGAGGGCAAGUCUGGUGCCAGCAGCCGCGGUAAUUCCAGCUCCAAUAGCGUAUAUUAAAAUUGUUGCAGUUAAAAAGCUCGUAGUUGAAUUUCUGCUGCAUUACAUAUCUCUUGUUUGAGUUUGUUUUUGUGGCUUAUUUCGGUUUGAUUUUUUCUUUCCGGAUGAUUACUUUGAGAAAAUUAGAGUGCUCAAAGCAGGCUUUUGCCUUGAAUAGUUUAGCAUGGAAUAAUAAAGUAGGACUUUGGUUCUAUUUUGUUGGUUUUAGGUACCAAAGUAAUGGUUAAUAGGAACAGUUGGGGGCAUUCGUAUUUAACUGUCAGAGGUGAAAUUCUUAGAUUUGUUAAAGACGAACUACUGCGAAAGCAUUUGCCAAGGAUGUUUUCAUUAAUCAAGAACGAAAGUUAGGGGAUCGAAGACGAUCAGAUACCGUCGUAGUCCU
rnacentral:rRNA from 1 species